rnacentral:rRNA from 1 species
CCUACGGGUGGCAGCAGUGGGGAAUAUUGCACAAUGGGGGAAACCCUGAUGCAGCGACGCCGCGUGAGGGAAGAAGUAUUUCGGUAUGUAAAGCUCUAUCAGCAGGGAAGAAAAUGACGGUACCUGAUUAAGAAGCCCCGGCUAACUACGUGCCAGCAGCCGCGGUAAUACGUAGGGGGCAAGCGUUAUCCGGAUUUACUGGGUGUAAAGGGGGCGUAGACGGCAGAACAAGUCUGGCGUGAAAUGGCGGGGCUUAACCCCGGAACUGCUUUGGAAACUGUGCAGCUAGAGUGCUGGAGAGGUAAGCGGAAUUCCUAGUGUAGCGGUGAAAUGCGUAGAUAUUAGGAGGAACACCAGUGGCGAAGGCGGCUUACUGGACUGUAACUGACGUUGAGGCUCGAAAGCGUGGGGAGCAAACAGGAUUAGAUACCCUUGUAGUC